rnacentral:rRNA from 1 species
UACGUAGGGGGCUAGCGUUGCUCGGAAUCACUGGGCGUAAAGGGUGCGUAGGCGGGUUUUUAAGUCUGGGGUGAAAUCCUGGAGCUCAACUCCAGAACUGCCUUUGAUACUGAAGAUCUUGAGUCCGGGAGAGGUGAGUGGAACUGCGAGUGUAGAGGUGAAAUUCGUAGAUAUUCGCAAGAACACCAGUGGCGAAGGCGGCUCACUGGCACGGUACUGACGCUGAGGCACGAAAGCGUGGGGAGCAAACAGG